CCUACGGGUGGCAGCAGUGGGGAAUAUUGGGCAAUGGGCGCAAGCCUGACCCAGCAACGCCGCGUGAAGGAAGAAGGCUUUCGGGUUGUAAACUUCUUUUCUGAGGGACGAAGAAAGUGACGGUACCUCAGGAAUAAGCCACGGCUAACUACGUGCCAGCAGCCGCGGUAAUACGUAGGGGGCGAGCGUUAUCCGGAUUCAUUGGGCGUAAAGCGCGCGCAGGCGGACCGUUAAGCGGGACCUCUAAUCCUGGGGCUCAACCUCAGGCCGGGUCCCGAACUGGCGGUCUCGAGUGCGGUAGGGGAGGUCGGAAUUCCCGGUGUAGCGGUGGAAUGCGCAGAUAUCGGGAAGAACACCGAUGGCGAAGGCAGACCUCUGGGCCGACACUGACGCUGAGGCGCGAAAGCUAGGGGAGCGAACAGGAUUAGAUACCCCAGUAGUC
rnacentral:rRNA from 1 species